AUUGAACGCUGGCGGCAGGCUUAACACAUGCAAGUCGAGCGAGCGGCGGACGGGUGAGUAAUGUCUGGGAAACUGCCUGAUGGAGGGGGAUAACUACUGGAAACGGUAGCUCAUACCGCAUACCAUCAGAUGUGCCCAGAUGGGAUUAGCUAGUAGGUGGGGUAAUGGCUCACCUAGGCGACGAUCCCUAGCUGGUCUGAGAGGAUGAACAGCAACACUGGAACUGAGAGACGGGCCAGACUCCUACGGGAGUCAGCAGUUGGGAAUAUUGCACAAUGGGCGCAAGCCUGAUGAAGCCAUGCCGCGUGUGUGAAGAAGGCCUUCUAGUUGUAGAACACUUUCAGCGGGGAAGCGUUAAGCGCAGAAGAAGCACCGGCUAACUCCGUGCCAGCAGCCGCGGUAAUUC
rnacentral:rRNA from 1 species